rnacentral:rRNA from 1 species
CCUACGGGAGGCAGCAGUGGGGAAUAUUGCGCAAUGGGCGAAAGCCUGACGCAGCGACGCCGCGUGAGGGAUGAAGGUCUUCGGAUCGUAAACCUCUGUCAGCAGGGAAGAACGGUCACUGUGCUAAUCAGCAGUGAAUUGACGGUACCUGCAAAGGAAGCACCGGCUAACUCCGUGCCAGCAGCCGCGGUAAUACGGAGGGUGCGAGCGUUAAUCGGAAUUACUGGGCGUAAAGCGCUCGUAGGCGGUAUGUCAAGUCAAGGGUGAAAUCCCCGCGCUCAACGUGGGAACUGCCUUUGAAACUGGCAAACUGGAGUGGGUGAGAGGAUAGUGGAAUUCCAGGUGUAGGAGUGAAAGCCGUAGAUAUCGGGAGGAACAUCAGUGGCGAAGGCGACUAUCUGGCACAUAACUGACGCUGAGGAGCGAAAGCGUGGGUAGCAAACAGGAUUAGAUACCCGGGUAGUC